rnacentral:misc_RNA from 1 species
UAGAAGUCACUGAAUCCCAUGUUAGGUCACAGAAAUUAUUUGGAAGGAAAUAAGCUUCAGUAGAUACGGGGGUCAAUUGACUGAACUGAUUGUGGAUAAAAUUUGUGUGCCAGCUAAACAAGAAUAAUUCACUAUCUUCCUUAUAAUACAUUAUCAUUAGCACUUUCUUCCAAACAAGAAUCCCCUUAGCUCCCCCACUCUCUCUUUUCUUCCCCCAGACAAAGAAGAGCACUCCUUGUUUUACCAUUUGAGAGUACCUAUUGGCAAAAGGGACACCAAAUGAAAGUAGCA